AUUAGCUCAGUUGGCAGAGCACUUGACUCUUAAUCAAGAUGUCCAGGGUUCGAACCCCUG
rnacentral:tRNA from 1 species